CCUGACAAAUCCAUGGUAGGAAUGUUUUCCCUGGCUGUCCCAAGGGGAAGGAACAGCUCUGGAGUUUUUGCAGCCACAGGCUGGGGAUGCAUCCCCUGAAAACCGGUUCAGGAUCGUUCAUCUGACUCUGCUCCUGACCUGUGGCUUCCCGGGAGCCUUCUGGUCUUCUGGAUAUUCCCAGGAAAGGAUAUUCCAGCACCUGCUUUUUAAACCAGGAAUUCCAAACCCAGAGCUUUCUAGGCCUCAUUUGAGGAUAAUUCCAAGAAUUUGGAAGUAGUUGGAAAAGAGUGAGGAAAGAAGGAUGAGGAAGCCAGGCCUGCUGAGGAGGAAGAUGAGGAGGUGUGUGAGGAUGGAGACAGCGGCCACCAAAGGCUGGGGAAGGCACAGAUCCAGGUAGGAGACGUUGCCUUGUGAGGAGAGGGACUUGUGUGUCCCGUUGGAAUUUGGGGCAUGAGGCCAGUGGAACAAAGGGUUUGAUUCCAUUUUCUUACUCGGGUUUUCAUGUGCCUUAAGAGAGCUUUGUGAAAAUGUCAUUAUCCCUGAUUGAGUCUCUGAAAAACAGGGAUUGAAGCUUUCAGAAGGGGCCCAACCCUGCCUGCAUGUAUCCAAGUGCAGCCCCCACUCCCUGUUUUUGUGUACAGCUGGGAUGAGCCCUCAGCUGCUGUUACUUGCCAGCUCACAAGUUGUGUAGCUCAGAGCCUCAGCCAUGAAGGGCCAGGCUGUGUUUAAAACAGCCCAAGGUGCCAGAGAGCUGGAGUAAUUUCCUAGCAGGUAACUUGACUUGGAAGCUACGUUCUAAAAUUUG